rnacentral:rRNA from 1 species
UACGAAGGGAGCUAGCGUUGUUCGGAAUUACUGGGCGUAAAGGGCGCGUAGGCGGACAUCUAAGUCAGGGGUGAAAUCCCAGGGCUCAACCCUGGAAUUGCCUUUGAUACUGGACGUCUCGAGUUCGGGAGAGGUGAGUGGAACUGCGAGUGUAGAGGUGAAAUUCGUAGAUAUUCGCAAGAACACCAGUGGCGAAGGCGGCUCACUGGCCCGAUACUGACGCUGAGGCACGAAAGCGUGGGGAGCAAACAGG